rnacentral:rRNA from 1 species
AUCUGGUUGAUCCUGCCAGUAGUCAUAUGCUUGUCUCAAAGACUAAGCCAUGCAUGUCUAAGUAUAAACAAUUAUACAGUGAAACUGCGAACGGCUCAUUAAAUCAGUUAUCGUUUAUUUGAUGGUUUUCUACAUGGAUAACCGUGAUAACUUCAGAACUAAUACAUGACAGCCUUCUGGCGUAUAUAUUAGAUACAAACCAACAGUAUGGUGAUUCAUAAUAUCUUGUCGAACCGAUCUUCGGUGUAUCAUUCAAAUUUCUGCCCUAUCAACUGUCGAUGGUAGGAUCGUGGCUGUGGUAACAACAGUAACGGGGAAUCAGGGUUCUAUUCCGGAGGGCCACGAGCGGCUACCACAUCCAAGGAAGGCAGCAGGCGCAUACACCCAAUCCUGACACAGGGGAGGUAGUGACAAUAUAUAACGAUCCGGGGCUCUUUGAGUUUCGGAAUUGGAAUGAGUACAAUUUAAACACCUUAACGAGGAACAAUUGGAGGGCAAGUCUGGUGCCAGCAGCCGCAGUAAUUCCAGCUCCAAUAGCGUAUAUAUAAUGUUGUUGCAGUUAAAAAGCUCGUAGUUGAAAUUGGGCGGGCUAUUAGUUUAGGCCGCUGGGAAGAACUUCUUCCAGUUACUUUGAAAAAUUUAGAGUGUUCAACGCAGGUUUCGCCUGAAUAUAUUAGCAUGGAAUAACAUACACGACGAGGGUCCAUUUUGUUGGCUUGCAAACCCACGUAAUGAUUAAUAGGGACAGUCGGGGCGUCAGUAUUGUUGUCAGAGGUGAAAUUCUUGGAUUUACACAAGACUAACUGCGAAGGCAUUCGCCAAGGAUGUAUUCAUUAAUCAGAACGAAAGUUAGGGGAUCAAGAUGAUCAGAUACCGUCGUAGUCUAACCGUAAACUAUGCCGACUGAGAAUGGGUACCGCUUAUACGGUAUCCGCGCUCUACGAAAUCAAAGUGAUCAGGUUCUGGGGAGUAUGGUCGCAAGGCUGAAACUUAAAGGAAUUGACGGAAGGGCACCACCAGGAGUGGAGCCUGCGGCAAUUUGACUCAACACGGGGCCUCACCAGGUCCAGACACAAUAAGGAUUGACAGAUUGAUAGCUCUUUCUUGAUUUUGUGGGUGGUGGUGCAUGGCCGUUCUUAGUUGGUGGAGUGAUUUGUCUGCUAAUUGCGAUAACGAACGAGACCUUGACCUACUAAAUAGCUCUACUUGCGAUUGCAGGUAGCUAGCUGUAGAGGGACUAUCUAUUACAAGUAGAUGGAAGUUCGAGGGCAAUAACAGGUCUGUGAUGCCCUUAGACGUUCUGGGCCGCACGCACACUGACGGAGCCAGCGAGUCGACCAAGCCGGGGGAAAAUCUUGUGGAAACUCCGUCGUGCUGGGGAUAGAGCAUUGCAAUUAUUGCUCUUCAACGAGGAAUUCUAGUAAGCGCAAGUCAUCAGCUUGCGUUGAUUACGUCCUGCCCUUUGUACACACCGCCGUCGCUACUACCGAUUGAAUGGUUUAGUGAGACCUUGGGGGAGAUGAGGAGGCAACCCUUUUGAACAUCAAACUUGGUCAAACUUGAUUAUUUAGAGGUAAAAGUCGUAACAAGGUUUCCGUAGGUGAACCUGCGGAAGGAUCAUUA